ACGAUGAGCCAUGCUGCCGCUUGUAAAAGCAAUUUUGUAGGAGGAAAGUCCGGGCUCCGCAGGGCAUGAUGCCGGAUAACGUCCGGGACAUGCAGCGCAUGCGCUGCAUGUUAAGACAGUGCAACAGAAAAUAUACCGCCGCAAGGUAAGGGUGAAAAGGCGGGGUAAAAGCCCACCGGCAGACAGGUAACUGUCUGCGCAUUGCAAACCUCAUCAGGAGCAAAGCCGAACAGUGCAUUGGCUGCCCGCCUUAUAUGCACGGGUAGGCUGCUUGACGUUUUUUUGUAAAAUAAAACGCAGAUAAAUGGCAGCAGGUUUAACAUUGUUAAGCAACAGAACCCGGCUUAUGGUUCAUCGUUUUU
rnacentral:RNase_P_RNA from 1 species